rnacentral:lncRNA from 1 species
CUUGAGAACAUGUUACCACAAAGAGCAGACCUUCAAAGCAGCCACAGAGGGAUAAAUCUCACUUGCGAAUUUUUCUGAACCCAAAUUAAAAAGCCUAAGGACACAGGUCUCCUUGGUGACAUUUUCUCAACAAUGAAACUGCAAGUCCUUCCCUUCCUUCCCAAGUGAGCCACAUGGACACAGUACCCAUCUGAUGGGAACUAAGUACCCAUCUGUGAUAGGGAGGAAAAGUGGUUACAAAGCAGGCUGGCUGAAAAACAAAACAAAACAGAAAAGAAACAAGAUGUAUCAUGCACAUGUACCCACUCCCCAAGAUGAUUGUAAAUUAUAGCACUACAA